rnacentral:lncRNA from 1 species
AAUAGUUUUUAUUUAAGCCCGGGUUAGAUUUCAAGCUCCUGUCUGCCAAAGGUGGGUAACUGGCACAUUAAUUUCAUUUAUUUCUGCAGCCACUGGCCCUUAGGGACGUGGUUUAGGGACUGGAUGACCUUGAAGUUCUCUUCCAACCUUGAUAAUUCUGUGAACUGUAGACACAUUAACUGUGUUAUUUAUCUCACAACAUCUGUCAUCAGGUUUGACACCUGUGACAUGUAAGCCCUGAUCUCAUCUGGCAGGGUUUGUUUGCAUUGCUCAUUUAUGUUGCAAUAAUGAGCCAGAAUCUUUUCUAUUUCAGUUUCAAUACCAGCAAUUAUUUAAAGAUCAUUAAAUCAUGACAGUAAUGGACUGAUCAUGGAUACUUUACACUAUUUUGGAGUUUCUUUUAUUCAGUUCCAAGCAAAGAAAACAACCGUUCUUGUCACUUGUGAAUAGUGCUGAUUAAUGAUUAUUAUAUUGAAUAACUCACCUUCACAGGUGUUUCUGGUUUAUCUCUGCUUAUCAUUCCCCACACCCUGUUAUUCCCAUAGUGCUGCUGGAGCAGUGCUUCCAAACGUUUGGGUUUGCAGUCUCAGGGAGAGUUCAUGCCCUGGCUGCUGGGCAGUGCCAGGUCAGCCGUGCCCAGUAAAUGGUGGUGUCAUAAACACUUACUGGAAGUCACUGGUGCUGGUAACUGGUUUGUGUUGCACAAGCUCAGAGGGCACGGGAGGCGCCGGGUGUGAAUUAAUGAUGAGGAGGCCUGGUUUGAAGGGAGCAGCUGAGGCAGAGCUGCGUUUGAAGCCGGGCUGGCUGAGGAGUGGCGGGGGAGCUGAGCUGUGUGUGUGUGUGUUUGCAUUGCUCCCGCAGUGGCUGGAAGGGUGCCAAGGCCCAGGAACGCCAGGAUCACCUCCCUCAACCUGCAGAGCACUUUGCAGUGGGAGGCACCGAGGUUCCCCCGGGGCAACAUCACCUACACUGUCCGCUACAGGAGCGUCGUCCUCCCGGGAGACACGUUCGAGCUGCUGCGGAGCGGGCUGAGGGCCACACACUGCGACGUGUCCUGGCUCUGGGAGUACGGCAACUACACCCUGCAGCUGCGGGCCCAGGCGGGGCAGGGCCACUCGCCAUGGGUCACCCUCAGCUUCAGCCCCAUGCACGACAGUAAGGCCCACCGCC